rnacentral:rRNA from 1 species
UUGGCCCUACGGGAGGCAGCAGUGAGGAAUAUUGGUCAAUGGACGCAAGUCUGAACCAGCCAUGCCGCGUGCAGGAAGACGGCUCUAUGAGUUGUAAACUGCUUUUGUACGAGGGUAAACGCAGAUACGUGUAUCUGUCUGAAAGUAUCGUACGAAUAAGGAUCGGCUAACUCCGUGCCAGCAGCCGCGGUAAUACGGAGGAUGCGAGCGUUAUCCGGAUUUAUUGGGUUUAAAGGGUGCGCAGGCGGUCUGUUAAGUCAGCGGUCAAAGCCCGGGGCUCAACCCCGGCCCGCCGUUGAAACUGG